AAUCCAUGCAUCAGACAUUUCUGAAGUAAUUCUUUAAAUCGUUCCCAAGCUUUAUAUAGCGUUUCAUCCUCUAAUUGUUGAAAGGAUGUGAUGUCAAUUCUAAGUUU
rfam:Gossypium hirsutum cultivar TM-1 chromosome 3, whole genome shotgun sequence